rnacentral:lncRNA from 1 species
CUUCUCCCCCAAUCAGGUUCCCUCCCCCAUUCUUUGGGUGCGUCUUGGCUUGUCCUGCCUGUCUUCUUCUAGGAAGCCACUCAGUCCUGCCUCAAAGAAGGGAGGAAGGAUGUCACCUUGUCCUGGGCAAGUUAUUGGGCAAGACCAGGCAGCUCCAGUGCUAAUUUAAUGCUGGGAAGAGAGUCGGGGAACCUGCAGCUCUAGAUUAGGAAAAAGGUCAUAGCAACCCAAAGGAGGCGGAGCAACUGGAGUUCAAGACAUUCACCUUAAAAGGUACACUCAGUUGCCCCUGCGUUUGGACUUUGCUGACCUGGAAAAAAGAGAACUGCAUAGUAAUCCAUUUGUGUUCCAUCUCGUCAAAAGUAUAGCACCUGUGGGGGCUGAGCUGGUGUUUCGUGGGAUCAUGAUGAUUCUCUGACUUGAAGUGCAAGGACUGGGAAAAAAUUCCAUGUCUGUAAGAAAAUGAAUCCUAAAGAUUCCAGUGUUGUACCUUAUCCAUUGAUA